UUAAUUCAGUUUAAUUUCCUAAAAAAAGCUCAUAAUUUCUUCUUAUCUUUGUUUUGAACGGGGAAAAAAACCCUAGUCCGAAUUGAUCUAUUUACUUUAUACAAAAUCCAUAAUUCCUCCCAUAAGACAUGGAUUCAUUAGAGGACGAUUGUUGUUGGGAUUUUCUUGAUUAUAACUUCAUCGAGGAAACCACGACUUCUUCUGAUUUCUUAUGGCCUAAUAAUCACAGUGGUGGCGUGGAUAUUGAUUUUUCAUCUGGUGGUGCUGUGGCGCAAGAAAAACAGUGCACAAGAAAGAGGGGACACAGUGAUUCUUGCAGCAAGCCAAGGACCAAAGCUUGCCGUGAGAAGUUGCGGAGGGAGAGAUUAAAUGACAGGUUUCAGGAUUUGAGCUCUGUUUUGGAGCCUGGGAGACCUGCCAGAACUGACAAACCGGCCAUUCUUGAUGAUGCUGUUAGAGUUCUAAAUCAAUUGAAAACUGAAGCUCAGGAGCUCAAAGAAACAAAUGAAAAGCUACGGGAAGAAAUAAAAACUUUGAAGGCUGAGAAGAAUGAACUUCGUGAAGAGAAACUCACACUGAAGGCAGAUAAAGAAAGGAUGGAGCAACAAUUAAAGGUUAUGGCUGUUCCACCUUCUGGAUUCAUGCCAGCCCAUCCUGCAGCUUAUCAUGCUGGAGUGAACAAGAUGGCAGUUUUUCCAAGCUAUGGUCUGAUACCAAUGUGGCAAUUACCUCCGGCUUCCCGUGAUACAUCACGUGACCAUGAGUACUGGCCCCCUGCUGCAUAAUUUUUUUUCCUUUUGUUCUCUCUCUGACUCUGUUCCUGUCCAAUUAAUUUUCUGUCAACAAUUAGAUGCUUUCUUCUAGAGUUGUCCAACAAUUUUUGUC
rnacentral:misc_RNA from 1 species